GGGGCUGGAGAAUGGGCCGGGACAGGGACAGAGGUGUCCACUGGGAGGAGGGAGCAGGCCGGACGUCUGCCCCGUCCCCGGUGGGUGCGGGGGCGUCAGGUGGGCAAAACCCCAGCGAGGGGAAGCUCCAGGUAAGAGGGCGACCGCGCCCAGGAGGGAAGCCCUUACUGCACCGCCCCGGCCUCGCCCCCGGUCCCCGCGGCUGCGCUCCCUACGCCGCCGGGGAGGCGCCGACGCCGGGACCAGGCUGCGGGUUCCGCCUCGGAGUCCUGGCUGCCGGGCACCCCGGCUGGGCCCGCGGGCGCCCGCUCCCCUCGCCGCUGAGGGCUGUCCAGAGAGAGGGCUUGCUCCCCACUCUAGGUCUGAAUCACCACGAACGCGCCUUAAACUCUAUUCCCACCUUUUUGGUUGCUUUUCCUUACGUCCUCUUUAAAUGAGCCUUUGGCUUCUAACAGUCUCCUCCCGAUAGGCGCAAAAGCAGUUUUUUCAGUUCAUUAGGAUAAUGAAUAGCUUACAUUUUUUGAUUGCUAACUAUGCAGAGUAGUUGGCUUUUUUUUUUUUUUUGAGACGGAGUCUCGUUCUGUCACCCAGGCUGGAGUGCAGUGGCGCGAUCUCAGCUCACUGCAACCUCUGCCUCCCGGGUUCAAGCGAUUCUCCUGCCUCAGCCUCCUGAGUAGCCGAGACUACAGGCGCGUGCCACCACACCUGGCUAAAUUUUUGUAUUUUUAGUAGAGACGGGGUUUCACAGUGUUAGCUAGGAUGGUCUCGAUCUCUUGACCUCGUGAUCCGCCCGCCUCGGCCUCCCAAAGUGCUGGGAAUACAGGCGUGAGCCACCGCGCCUGGCCGAGUAGUUGGCUUUUCAUAUCACAUGAUCACAUUUCAUCCAUAUGACAAACUCUAUGAAUUAUUAUCCCUAGUUUACAGAUGAGGAAAGUAGAGCUCCGAGGAAUUAAACCCUUCAACACUAACUUGUACUGCGUCAUACUAAAUGUGCCUCUCUGACCAUCUCUGCCAAGGUUUCUCAGAAGCGCCUUUUAUUUCUGUUGUUUUUGUUUCUCUGCAACUCUAUCAUGUUAUCUUAGCUCAUGAAUUCCUUGACCAUCUCUGGGAGAUACAGAGUUUAUGGAAAUAUUGAGGGAACAAAAGUGAAUUUUCUGGCCGGGCACGGUGGCUCAUGCCUGUAAGUCCAGCACUUUGGGAGGCCGAGGCAGGCAGGUCACUUGAGGUCAGGAGUUCAAGAUAUACUUCAACUCACACAUACAAAAUGGCCCUUGUGGAACAUAUGUGUAGAGAUUUUAGUCUUAGUAGAGCUUUUCAACUUUUUCAUUCAUUCCCCAGAUAUAUUUAGCACAGUAUCCGAGAUGCUUAGGGAAUAUGUUUGUGAGCAAAACUGAUGGCUCUGCCUCAUGGAGAGGGAAUAGGGAAGAUAGGGAAGUGGGAGUGGGAUAGGGAAGAAAAACAACCAACAGGCCUGGCGCAGUGGCUCAAGUCUGUAAUUCUGGCACUUUGGGAGGCGGGCGGAUCACUUGAGGUCAAAAGUUUGAGACCAGCCUGGCUAACACGGUGAAACCCCAUGUCUACCAAAAAAUGUGAAAAUUAGUCGAGCAUGGUGGUGCACACCUGUAAUCCCAACUACUCGGGAGGCUGAGGCAGAAUUACUUGAACCUGGGAGGUGGAGGUUGCAGUGAGCAGAGAUCGUGCCACUGUACUCCAGCCUGAGUGACAGAGACUCUGUCUCAGAAAAAAAAAAAAAAAAAAAAGAGUAAUUCUCUUGUACUUUAAAUUAAUUUUAAGCAUUGGGAUCCAUAUUUAGAUUUGCUGCCCUCUGCUGGAAUUUUUUGGGGAAAAAUUUCCUGGGUAGACAGUUAAACAUUUAACCUUUAUGUUAACAGAUCUUUAUGAGUCUAAAAAUUACAGUGUAAGGAGAGGCAGAAACUGGACUUACUUUUCAGUUGACAGUUUCCAGAAUUCACCAAAAAUAUGCUAAAUUAUUAUUAUUAUUUUGACAUGGAGUCUCGCUCUGUUGCCCAGGCUGGAGUGCAAUGGCAUGAUGUCAGCUCACUGCAACCUCCACCUCCCAGGUUCAAGCAAUUCUCCUGUCUCAGCCUCCCAAGUAGCUGGGGUUACAGGCAUGUGCCACCAUGCCCAGCUAAUUUUUGUAUUUUUAGUAGAGAUGGGGUUUCACCAUGUUGGUCAGACUGGUUUCAAACUCCUGACCUCAGGUGAUCCACCAGGCUCAGCCUCCCAAAAUGCUGCGAUUACAGGCAUGAGCCAGUUUGCCCAGACUAUGCUAAAUUAUUAAUAGGGUGACAGAAGACACGGUUCAGUGAUCAGCCUUUUUUUUUUUUUUUGCUAUAAAACUUUUUUUUUUUUUUUUUUUUUUUACACAGGGUCUCACUCUGUCACCCUGGAUGGAGUGCAGUGGUGCAGCCUCGACUUUUUGGGCUCAAGCAAUCCUCUUGCCUCAGCCUCCCAAGUACCUGGGACUACAGGUGUGUGCUACCAUGCCUGGCUAAUCUUUUUUUUUUUUUUGUAAAGAUGAAGUCCCACUAUAUUUCCCAGGCUGGUUUUGAACUCCUAGGCUCAAGCAAUCCUCCUGCCUUGGCCUCCCAAAGUGCUGGAAUCACAGGUGUGAGCCACCACGCCUGGCUAAUAUAUAACUUUGGAUGGACAUUUCCCCUCCUCAGGGUCCAGGUUUUGAAUGUGCAAUAUGAGGAGAUUGGACAGGAUCCUCUGUAAGGCCCUUACAGCCCUAACAUUCUGUGAUGUGUGACUCAAAGUUUGUGGGGUUCAUGUGAGCUCUACAAAUAUGAGCAAAGGAGAAAACAUGCUUCCUCAGUCAACAUCUUGACUGAAGAAUCACCAGAACAUUAGAUAAAUAAUUACAGAUGGGGCUUUCGUUGUAAUCUUACAAUGCUUUAGGGAAAUAAGCGUUGCAUACCUACUGCAGCUUUCUUGGGCUUUAAAUGACCAUAUAGCAUGUUCACAAAACAUCACAAAACAUUAGUAAAGAGAAAAGAAUUCAGAUAAAACUGAACCUUAUUUUUUUUCAGCCUAACUCCUGUUUUCUUUGCUGAGAUACUAGUAAUGCUGAAGUAUUUGUUUGUGUUCAGUUACAAAUUACAUGAUACAAUUAAUGAUGUAGGAAUAUUUUGUGCUUAUGUAGAAAUUUAUAACAAAAUGUUUUCUACUGCAAUAGUGCCUUGGUAGAGUUUUUAUAAAUGAGUUUUUACAAAGGUAUUUAUUAUGGAACUGUGGAAAAUAAAGUCCUGAGACUUGAAAUAAUUUACCCCAAACCACAAGAGAUAGGAGUCAGAUUAAAUACCUACAAUGACAGUUGUCUCUUUUAUUCUAGGUUCUUCCUCAGCCUGUUAUUGGCUCUAGUUAACAGGGAAAGGGAAGUCCUAGAAAAGUCAUUUAUUGAAUUUGUAGUCCUAUGGUAAGGUUACUAAUGUAACAAGAAAAAAAAUUUACCCUACUUUUAACAACCCCAAAGGACAGCUAGGACUCUGCAGUUGAACAACCUUCUUUACAAUAAGCAUUUUUUUUUUUUUGAGACGGUGUCUCGCUGUGUUGCCCAGGCUGGAGUGCAAUGGCGCUAUCUUGGCUCAGCGCCACUGAGCCCCAGGCUGGUCUCAAACUCCUGACCUCAGGUGAUCUGCCUGCCUCGGCCUCCCAAAGAGCUGGGAUUACAGGCAUGAGCCCCUGCGCCCAGCCUACAAUAAGCAUUUUUUAAGAUUUAUGCAUUUCAGCCAGGUGAGGUGGCUCAUUUCUGUAAUCUCAACACUUUGGGAGGCCAGGGUGGGCAGAUUGCUUAAGUCCAGGAGUUCGAGACCAGCCUGGGGCAACAUGGCGAAACCCUGUCUCUAUGAAAAUUAAAAAAAAAAUUAGCUGGACAUGGUGGUGUGUGCCUGUCGGCCAGCUACUCGGAAGGCUUUAGUGGGAGGAUCACUUGAGCCUGGGAGGCUGAGGCUGCAGUACGCCAAGAUCAUGCAACUGCACUCCAGCCUGGGGGGAAAACAGACCCUGUUCCACCCAAAAGAAAUAAAAUUAUGUAUUUCAAGGCAGUUUGUUUUUUCUCCUUUUUUAUGCCUUGUAUGUACAGAAUAGCAGGACAUUACUUUCUAGGUAACAUGUUAUUUUAUUUUAUGGGAAAAACAGUCCUUGGAUCCUUUAACUUUUAUUUAUUUCUCUUUUAUCCCACAAAUGUUUGCAGUCUUUAAAAGUUCCUACAAAUUCUUUAGAAGUUCUCUUCCUCCCUGAUUUGAGCUGUGUUUUGGACGACUUCCCCUUUGGCAGGGCUUAGUAUGUGAAAUGCUAGCUCCAUUCUGGGAGAUUACCAUAGAAGAUUGACUUUCAUCUCUGAAAUUACACAUUUUCUUUCCACUGAGAUUUGGCUUGUUCUGAUCUGCUUUAUAUUUCCUAAAAAUACAGUGCUGUGGCAUCACUUCCUCGGUGACUAACUGAAACAACUGAACCGGUUCCUUUGACCUGUAUUCCCACCCUGUAUCCCUACACCCAAGACUUCUUACUCAAGCUCUUGCUAAUCUUUUCUGGAAUUAACUACCAUUCCCUUGCCCCCUUCCCCCAUUCCUUUAGGAUACACAGAUAAAAUUCUCUUGGAGGAAAAGUAAAAGGAACUACUCAUAUUCUUCAAUUGUCUACAGUAUUACUCUAAUAAAAGGACUAUAUCAUAGAGCCUGGAAAACUUUUCUAUUUAUAGUAACAUUUAUUUAAUAAAUUUAUUCAUGUACUGAAAAAGCACUCAGGCAGCCCAAAGUAGAAGGCCCCUGAAGGUUUUCUUUCCCUGCGACUAACUUCUUGCAACCAAGCAAAACAAUGGGGAAUUUGCUUAGGGACUGUGAAUCUCAGGAUAAUCUUUUCCUUUUUACUUUUCUGCAUCUCCACCUGCCUCCUCCUGCUCCCAGGACACACAGCCAGCCAUUAUCAAGUACACUAAGUAAUGUUUUUUCGUACAUAAUUAAAGCAUGGAAUCUGAAUACUAGAGAGAAUAUCAGUGCAUAAAUUAUAGUUAGGAAACUUAGAGGUGAAACCGGUCUCUUCUUACUCAUGUACAGCCAUGUGUCACUUAACAACCAAGAUCUGUUCUAAGAAAUGCAUCCUAGGCAAUUUCUUCAUUGUGGGAACAUCACAGAGUGUACAUAUGCAAACCUAGCUUAUUGCUCCAAAGCUAGAAACUUGUGCAGCCUGUUACUGUACUGAAUACUUAGGCGAUUGUAACUAGAUGGUAUUUGUAUCUAGGUUGGGCGUGGUGGCUCAUGCCUAUAAUCCCAGCAUUUUGGGAGGUUGAGGCAGGCAGAUCACUUGAGGUCAGGCGUUUGAGACCAGCCUGGCCUACAUGGUGAAAACCCAACUCUAUUAAAAAUACAAAAAUUAGCCAGGCAUGGUAGUGUGUGCCAGCUACACAGGAGGCUGAGGCUCAAGAAUCGCUUGAACCCGGGAGGCAGAGGUUGCAGUGAGCCGAGAUCGCACACUGCAUUCCAGCCUGGGCGACACAGUGAGACUCCGUCUCAAAAAAAAAAAAGAAAGUAUUUGUAUCUAAACAUAGAAAACUUAUGGUAAAAAUAUGGUAUAAAAGAUAAAAGAUGGCACACCUAUAUAGGGCACUUACCAUGAAUGGAACUUGCAGGACUGGAAGUUGCUUAGUGAGUCAGUGGUAAGUGAAUGUGAAGGCCUAGGACAUUUAAAAAAAUUUUUCAUUUUUGGCCGGGUGCGGUGGCUCACACCUGUAAUCCCAGCACUUUGGGAGGCCGAGGCAGGUGGAUCACCUGAGGUCAGGAGUUCGAGACUAGCCUGACCAACACGGAGAAACCCCGUCUCUACUAAAAAUACAAAAAAGUUAGCCAGGCGUGGUGGCACAUGCCUGUAAUCCCAGCUACUCGGGAGGCUGAGGCAAGAAAAUUGUUUGAACCUGGAAGGUGGAGGUUGCAGUGAGCCGAGAGUGUGCCAUUGCACUCCAGCCUGGGCACCAAGAGCAAAACUCCGUCUCAAAAAAAAAAAAAUUUCAUUUUUGAAUUAUUUAUUUAUUUACUUAUAGCCGGGCAUGAUAGCUCAUGCCUGUAAUCCUAGCACUUUGGGAGGCCAAGGCGGGCUGAUCACCUGAGGUCAGGGGUUCGAGAGCAGCCUGACCAACAUGGCGAAACCCCAUCUCUACUAAAAACACAAAAAUUAGCCAGGCGUUGUGAUGCACACCUGUAAUCCCAGCUACUUGGGAGGCUGAAGCAGGAGAAUCGCUUGAAAUAGGGAGGUGGAGGUUGCAGUGAGCCCAGAUCACACCAGUUCACUCCAGCCUGGGCAAUAGAGCGAGACUGUCUCAAAAAGAAAAACAAAAAACAAAACAUAAAUAAUUUUUAUAAAAACAAGGUCUCACUCUGUUGCCCAGGCUGCUCACAAACUCCUGGGCUCAAGUGAUGCUCCCUCCUGGGCCUCCCAAAGUGCUGGGAUUACAGGUGGGAGCCACUGCACCCAGCUGACCUAGGACAUUAUUGUAUACUACUGUAGACUUUAUAAACACUGACACUUAGGCUACAUUAAACUUGAAAACAUGUUUCCUUCUUCAAUGAUAAAUUAACUUUAGCUUACUGUAGCUUUAAAAAUUUGUAAGGCCAGGUGCUGUGGCUCAUGCCUGUAAUCCUAGCACUUUGGGAGGCUGAGGUGGGCGGAUCACUUGAGGUCAGGAGUUCACAAUCAGCCUGGCCAACAUGGUGAGACCUCACCUCUACUAAACAUAGAAAAAAUUAGCCGGAUGUGGUGGCACAUACCUGUAAUCUCAGCUACUUGGGAGGCUGAGGCAGGAGGAUCACUGGAACCCGGAAGGCGGAGGCUGCAGUGAGCCAAGAUUGUACCACUGCACUCCAGCCUGGGCAGUAGAGUGAGACUCUGCUCAAAAAAAAAAAAAAAUUGUAAACUUUUUUUUUUUAAACUUUUUGUCUCUUGUAAUAACACAGCUUAAAACACAUUGUACAGCUGUACAACAUUUUUUUUGAAACAGGGUCUCCCUCUGUCACCCAGGCUGGGGUGCGCUGGCAUGAUCACGACUCACUGCAGCCUCAACUUCCUGGGCUCAAGCAAUCCUCUCGCCUUAGCUUCCUGAAUAGCUGAGGUUACCGUGUGCGCCACCAUGCUUGGCUAAUUUUUUGUAUUUUUUGUAGCGAGAGGGUCUUGCUGUUGUCCAGACUGUCUCAAACUCCUGGCCUCAAGUAAUCCUCCCACCUUGGCCUCCCAAAGUGCUGGAAUUACAAGCUUGAGCCACCUCGCCUGGCCUGCAAACGUAAAAUUAAAAAAAAAAUAAAUGCCUCUUCCUGCCCCCAUUCCUCAGCCCCUCCACUGCUAGUACCAGUAUCUGCAUGCUAGGUGUUCAUCCCUGGACUGAGGAUUUUAAAUGCUUUAACUUAUUUAUUCUUCACGAUAAUCCUAUGAGGUAGACACUAUUGUUACCUCCAUUUUACAGGAGAGGAAAUGGAGGCUGCCUGGCUUUGGGAACUGCCCUGAGGUCACACAGCAGCGCAUGUUGCCUUCAGUCCAGCCUUCUUUGGAAUCCCAACCCUUCCCUCAGGAGGUUGGCUUUAAGGCCUUCAUUUCUAAACCACUGUCUUCUUUUUUUUUUUUUUUUUGAGAUGGAGUGGCUUGAUCUGGACUCACUGCAACCUCUGCCCCCUGGGUUCAAGUGAUUCUCUUGCCGCAGACUCCCAAGUAGCUGGGAUUAUAGGCGCCCACCACCAUGCCGAGCUAAUUUUUGUAUUUUUAGUAGAGACGGGGUUUCAUCAUGUUGGCCAGGCUGGUCUCAAACUCCUGAUCUCAGGUAAUCCACCCGCCUCAGCCUCCCAAAGUGUUAGGAUUACAGGCGUGAACCACCGCUCCUGGCCUAAAUUACUGUCUUCUCUCCAAGAACAUUAAUAUAGAACCACUUUUAUAUCUACAACUUUAAUUACAUGUUUAUUUCCCCAAAUCAUCAAAAUCUGCAAUGUCCCCAAACCCCUCAGGAGAUUCAGUGAAGGAAGGAGGCUGGAACAGGGUUCUAACAGAUGAGGGUCUGCACUUGCAGGCCUCUGUUUUUACAACACUUUGCUGUUUUUGAUCCUCUAGUCCAUAUACCUUUUUCCUUACCCUCCAGCAUAUUUUGUUCCAAUGGAGUCAGGAAUAUAAGCCCUUUAGAACCCCUGAAAGUUCUUUGUGUGUUUCUGAUAGAUAAAGAUUUCCUCAUUUUAAAGUACAUAGUUCUCUGUUUUGGUCAGUUUCAGUCCCCACUGACCUUGUAAAUGGGUGAUACGGAACAGCCUGUAACUACAAAAUCGACUUCUUAUCCAGUUCCCUCAGCUGCUCCAUUUAUAUGUACGGAACCCAAGGGACAGAGCUGGGUUCACACACUGUGGAAAAGAAAAAGAAGAAAUAAUUUUUGUUCAAAACAAAGAAACAAAUUUUAAAUUCACGCUGUUCUUUCUCUUUACUCUGCACGAAAUGACUGAUAAUAAACCAAAGUUGUUUCAGAGGAAAAAAAAAUUAUCCUGGAACAGAGAUCACCUGACAAGCUACACAGCCUGUUUCGCUGAUGCUCACUUGCUCAGUUGCAUUGGGGGUUUCAUGGCCUUUGGUCAAGGCCAGGAGGGCCUAACCCCAAGCACACUAGUUUCUUUUAGUGUUGUUCGUUUGUUUGUUUUUGAGACAGGGUUUCACUCUCUCACCCAGGCUGGAGUGCAGUGGCACCACUGUAGCUCACUGCAGCCUCAACGUCCCAGGCUCAGGUGAUCCUCCCACCUGGGCCUCCCAAGUAGCUGGGACUACAGGCACGUGCCACCACACCCACUGGCCUCAGCCUCCCCAAAUGCUGGGAAUACAGAUGUCAGCCACCACGCCCUAGCCUCAAGCACAUUGCUAUGGAAGCCUAAAAAGAUAAAUCUGGCUGGGCGUGGUGGCUCACGCCUGUAAUCCCAGCACUUUGGGAGACUGAGGCCGGCGGAUCACGUGAUGUCAGGAGUUCCAGACCAGCCUGGCCAACAUGGUGAAACCCUGUCUCUAAUAAAAAUAUAAAAAUUAGCCAGGCGUGGUGGCAGACGCCUGUAAUCCCAGCUACUCCAGAGGCUGAGUCACAAGAAUGGAGAAUCGCUUGAACCUGGGAGGUGGAGGUUGCAGUGAGCUGAGAUUGCGCCACUGCACUCCAGCAUGGGUGAUAGAAUGAGACUCAGUCUCGAAAAACAAAAAGAAAAGACGAAUCUACCAGGUAGAGUGGUUCAUGACUGUAAUUCCAGCACUUUGGAAGACCAAGUGGGUGGAUCACAUGAGUCCAGAGGUUUGAGACCAGCCUGAGCAACAUAGCAAGACCUCUAUCAGAGAAAUAUAUAUAUAUAUAUAUAUAUAUAUUUUUUAAAGAUAAGUUCAGCUGCUGGGGAAAGUGGUAGUUGGUUUCUUAGCAAGCAACAGAAUCAUUUUGACCUUUAAAGACAAGGACAAGAUAAAAUACAAAGGGAAAAGCACUGCAGAGUAAGGAAAGUAAAGAUUAGAAUAACAAAAUACUGAAUUAGACUAUUCACUGUAAACUCUCAGAGCCAUUAUAAUUACUAGGAAUUCUGGCUUAUAGUGUGAUUAAAUAGAGUAACCUUGGCAAGGUCCGUAGUUGUAUUUUGGGUGAGUUUCUCCAUCUGCAUUUGGUGUGAGGAUAAGACUUGCUCUAAAACAGCCUGAGGUCAGGUGCAGUGGCUCAAGCCUGUAAUCCCAGCAAUUUGGGAGGCUGAAGUGGUAGGAUCACUUGAGCUCAGGAGUUUGAGACCACCCUGGGCAACACAGAGGGACCCCGUUUCUACUUAAAAAAUAAAAAAAAAAUAUAUGUGUUUUGCCUCUGCACCAAGUUCCUGACACAGAGCUCCUAAAUCCUUGGAACUUCCUGGGUGAUGGGAGCAUCUUUUGUACUAAUGAGGGUCUCUUGGUGUCUUGCUGGAUAGCUUCAGGAUAGGGUCUGGUCACCAGAAAGACAAAGUCAUGACUAGAAGCUUGAAAAUUUAGCCACAUCCCCCAUCCUCCAGGGAGGGGAGAAGGACUAGGGAUUGAGUUAAAAACUGAUCAUGCCUACGUGAUGAAGCCUCCAUAAAAAUCCCUAAACUACCGGGUUCCCAGAGUUCCAAACUGGUAAACAAGAACAUAUCCACUUGCAGGAGGGUUGUGCACCCCAGCUCCACUACACUCAAAGGACAGAAGCUGCUGCACUCAGGAGCCUUCCAUACCUCACCCUAUAUAUAUCCUCAUUUGACAAUUCAUUUCCCGUUUUUUUUUUUUUUUUUUUUUUUUGUUUAGAUGGAGCCUCGCUCUGUUGCCCAGGCUGGAGUGCAGUGGCAUGAUCUCGGUUCAAUGAUGCAGCUUCCACUUCCCAAGUUCAAGUGAUUCUCUGCCUCAGCCUCCUGAGUAGCUGGGAUUACAGGCGUGCACCACGACACUCGGCUAAUUUUUUCUUUUCUCUUCUUGAGAUGGAGUUUCACUCUUGUUGCCCAGGCUAGAGUGCAAUGGCAUGAUCUUGGCUCACCGCAACCUCCAGCUCCCGGGUUCAAGCGAUUCUCCUGCCUCAGCCUCCCGAGUAGCUGGGAUUACAGGCAUGCGCCACCACGCCCGGCUAAUUUGGUAUUUUUAGUAGAGACGGGGUUUCUCCGUGUUGGUCAGGCUGGUCUCGAAAUCCCGACCUCAGGUGAUCCGCCUGCCUCGGCCUCCCAAACUGCUGGGAUUACAGGCGUAAGUCACCGCACCCGGCUCCCCUUCCUGCUUUUAUCCUGUCUUCUAUCUCUGUAGGGCUCCCCGUCCCUGAUUUUAUUAAUACUAGUCCUAUCCACCUGUGCCCCAGUUCUGUAUUCCUGCUCACAGUCUCUGGGAUCUUGCUUCAUAAUUUAACCCUUUUUCUUGACCCUUCACUUUCUUUUGUUUAGACAAAUUGGGACUGAACUCUAGUUUCAGUACCAGUUUGAGUUACAGGCCCAGCCUAUAAUCUCUCUUAUAUGUUGCUGAAUUUGGUUUGCAGACGACUUUUGUAUCAAUAUUUAUAAGGAUAUCGAUAUAUACUUUUCUUACAGUGUCUUUACCUGGUUUUAGUAUCAGAGUAAUAUUGAAUUUAUAGAAUAAAUUGGGAAGUGUUCCUCCUCUAAUUUCUGAAAUAAUUUGUUCAAUAUUUGUAUUAUUGGUUCUUUAAAUAUUUAAUGGAAUUUACCAAUGAAGCCAUCUGGGCUGGGCUCUUGUGGGAAGAUUGUUAGAUUGUUUUUGUUUGUUCUUGAGACAGGGUCUCACUCUGUUGCCCCAGGCUGGAGUGCAGUGGUACAAUCUCAGCUCACUGACACCUCCACCUCCCUGGUUCAAGUUAUUGUCCCACCUCAGCCUCCCAAGUAGCUGGGUCUAUAGGUAUGUGCCACCCCACCUGGGUAAUUUUUGUACAUUUUGGUUGAGACGGGUUUCACCAUAAUGCCCAGGCUGGUCUUGAACUCCCGACCUCAAGUGAUGUACCUGCCUUGGCCUCCCAAAGUGCUGGGAUUACAGGUGUGAGCCACCAUGCCCAGCUGGAAGAUUGUUUUUUAAAUUCAUUUUUUUUAACCACUUGAUAUAGGUAUGUUUGGAUAUCCUAUUUCUUCUUGAGUUGGUCUUGAUACUUUAUGCCUUUCUAGGAAUUUUUCAUUUCAUUAAAUUGCCUAAUGUACUGGUAUAAAGUUGUUCACAUUAUACUUUUUGUGUGUGUAUGGUAGAGAUGGGGUUUCACUGUUACCCAGGCUGUUCUGGAACUCCUGGGCUCAAGUAAUCUGCCCACCUCAGCCUCCCAAAGUGUUGGGAUCAUAGUCAUGAGCCACCAUGCCUGGCCCCAUAAUAUACUUUUAUAAUUUUAAUUUUUGUAGGGCAGAGAUUGAUGUCCUCUCUUUCAUUCUAGAUACUGGUAAUUUGUGUCUUCUCUUUUUUUUUUUUUUUUUUGAGACGGAGUCUCACUCUGUCACCCAGGCUAGAGUGCAGUGGCGCGAUCUCGGCUCACUGCAAGCUCCGCCUCCCAGGUUCACGCUAUUCUCCUGACUCAGCCUCCCAAGUAGCUGGGACUACAGGUGCCCGCCACCAUGCCCGACUAAUUUUUUGUAUUUUUAGUAGAGACGGGGUUUCAUCGUGUUAGCCAGGAUGGUCUCGAUUUCCUGACCUCGUGAUCCGCCUGCCUGGGCCUCCCAAAGUGCUGGGAUUACAGGCGCAAGCCACCACGCCCAGCCAGUGUCUUCUCUUUUUUAAAACAAAUUUAUUAUUAUUAUUUUUUGAGAUGGAGUCUCACUCUGUCGCCCAGGUUGCAGUGCAGUGGCACGAUCUCAGCUCACUGCAACCUUCCACCUCCCAGGUUCAAGCGAUUCUCCUGCCUCAGCCUCCUGAGUAACUGGGAUUACAGGCACCCGCCACCACACCUGGCUAAUUUUUGUAUUUUUAGUAGAGAUGGGGUUUCACCACGUUGGGCCAGGCUGGUCUCAAACUCCUGACCUCAAGUGAUCCACCUGCCUCGGCCUCCCAAAGUGUUGGAAUUACAGGCAUAAGCCACCAUGUCUGGCCUUUUUAAAAAUUUUUUUCGCUUGGCUAAUCUUAUUAUUAUUAUUAUUAUUGGAGACAAUGUUUUGCUCUAUUGCCUGCUUGAGUGCAGUGGCGUGACCUCAGCUCACUGCAGCCUCAACCUCUCAGGCUCAAGCAAUUCUAUCUCAUGAGCAUCCCCACCCGAGUAACUGGGACUACAGGCACGUGCCACCAUGACUGGCUAAUUUUUGUAUUUAUUUGGAAGAGACGGUGUUCACCAUGUUACCUAGGCUGGUCUCCAACUCCUGGGCUCAAGUGAUCCACCUGCCUCUGCUUCCCAAAGUGCUAGGAUUAUAGGUGUGAGCCACCACGACCAGUCAUUGUUAUUUUUUCAAAGAAACAACUUUUUGUUCGUUGAUUUUCUAUAUUGCUGUUUUCUGUUUCAUUGAUUUCUGCUCUAAUCUUUAUUUCCUCUUUUUUGCUUACCUUGGGUUUAGUUUGAUCUUUUGUUUAUUUAUUUAUUUAUUUAGAGACGGAGUUUCACUCUUGUCGACCAGGCUGGAGUGCAGUGGCGCCAUCUCAGCUCACCACAACCUCCGCCUCCCGGGUUCAAGUGAUUCUCCUGCCUCCACCUCCCGAGUACCUGGGAUUACAGGCAUGCGCCACCACACCCGGCUAAUUUUGUAUUUUUAGUGGAGACGGGGUUUGUCUAUGUUGGUCAGGCUGGUCUCAAACUCCCGACCUCAGGGGAUCAGCCCGACUCGGCCUCCCAAAGUGCUGGGAUUACAGGCAUGAGCCACCGCGCCCGGCCUUCUUUUUAUUUUCUUAAGAUAGAAGCUUAAUUUGAUUUGAGACCUUUCUUUUCUUCUUAUAUAUAUGUUUUCCUCUAAGCACUUCUAGCUGCUUCCCAUAAAUUUUGAUAUGUUGUAUUUUCAUUUUUACUCAGUUCAAAAUAUUUUAAGAUUUCCCUUGUGAAGUGGCUUUUGACCUAUGUGCUAUUUAGAAGUCUGUUUUAUUUCCAAAUACAUAGGGAUUUCCCAGAUCUCUUUCUGUUGUUGAUUUCUAAC
rnacentral:lncRNA from 1 species